UGAAUACGAGAUGCUACGGCGUCGAAGCAGUCUAUGUCAUACUUCCAAGAAAAGCUCGCACUGUCAUAAACAAAUAAUGCCUGUACCAUAACCGACACAGGUGGGUAGGUAGAGUAUACUAAGGGGCGCGAGAUAACUCUCUCUAAGGAACUCGGCAAAAUGACUCCGUAACUUCGGGAGAAGGAGUGCCUUAUUUAUAAGGUUGCAAUAACAAGAUCCAAGCAACUGUUUAUCAAAAACACAGGUCUCCGCUAAGUCGUAAGACGAUGUAUGGGGGCUGACGCCUGCCCAGUGCCAGAAGGUUAAAGAAGUUGGUUAGCAUUCGCGAAGCUGAUAACUGAAGCCCUGGUGAACGGCGGCCGUAACAAUAACGGUCCUAAGGUAGCGAAAUUCCUUGUCGGGUAAGUUCCGACCCGCACGAAAGGCGUAAUGAUUUGGAUACUGUCUCGGAGAGGGGCUCGGUGAAAUAGACUUGUCUGUGAAGAUGCGGACUACCUGCACCAGGACAGAAAGACCCUAUGAAGCUUUACUGUAACUUGAGAUUGAAAUUGGACUUUACUUGCGCAGUAUAGGUGGGAGGCGUUGAUAAUAUUCUUGCGGGAUUAUUUGAGCCAUCAGUGAGAUACCACUCUUGUAAUGUUAGAUUUCUAACUUUGUAUCAUUAUCUGGUCAAAGGACAGUUUCAGGCGGGCACUCUGACUGGGGCGGUCGCCUCCUAAACGGUAACGGAGGCGCACAAAGGUUUCCUCUGAACGGGUAGAAAUCGUAUCUAGAGUGUAAAGGCAUAAGGAAGCUUGAUUGUGAGACCUACAAGUCGAGCAGGGACGAAAGUCAGUCUUAGUGAUCUGACGGUGCUGAGUGGAAAGGCCGUCACUCAACGGAUAAAAGUUACUCUAGGAUAACAGGCUGAUCUCCCCCAAGAGUUCACAUCGACGGGGAGGUUUGGCACCUCGAUGUCGGCUCAUCGCAUCCUGGGGCGGUAGUACGUCCCAAGGGUUGGGCUGUUCGCCCAUGAAAGCGGUACGCGAGCUGGGUUCAGAACGUCGUGAGACAGUUCGGUCCAUAUCCGGUGUAGGCGUUAGAAUAUUGAGAGGAGCCUUCUUUAGUACGAGAGGACCGAGAAGGACAUACCUCUGGUGUACCAGUUAUCGUGCCAACGGUAAACGCUGGGUAGCUAUGUAUGGAGUGGAUAACCGCUGAAAGCAUCUAAGUGGGAAGCCCACCUCAAGAUAAG
rnacentral:rRNA from 1 species